CAUGCAAGUCGAGCGGUAACAUUUCUAGCUUGCUAGUAGAUGACGAGCGGCGGACGGGUGAGUAAUGCUUGGGAACAUGCCUUGAGGUGGGGGACAACAGUUGGAAACGACUGCUAAUACCGCAUAAUGUCUACGGACCAAAGGGGGCUUCGGCUCUCGCCUUUAGAUUGGCCCAAGUGGGAUUAGCUAGUUGGUGAGGUAAUGGCUCACCAAGGCGACGAUCCCUAGCUGGUUUGAGAGGAUGAUCAGCCACACUGGGACUGAGACACGGCCCAGACUCCUACGGGAGGCAGCAGUGGGGAAUAUUGCACAAUGGGCGCAAGCCUGAUGCAGCCAUGCCGCGUGUGUGAAGAAGGCCUUCGGGUUGUAAAGCACUUUCAGUCAGGAGGAAAGGUUAGUAGUUAAUACCUGCUAGCUGUGACGUUACUGACAGAAGAAGCACCGGCUAACUCCGUGCCAGCAGCCGCGGUAAUACGGAGGGUGCGAGCGUUAAUCGGAAUUACUGGGCGUAAAGCGUACGCAGGCGGUUUGUUAAGCGAGAUGUGAAAGCCCCGGGCUCAACCUGGGAACUGCAUUUCGAACUGGCAAACUAGAGUGUGAUAGAGGGUGGUAGAAUUUCAGGUGUAGCGGUGAAAUGCGUAGAGAUCUGAAGGAAUACCGAUGGCGAAGGCAGCCACCUGGGUCAACACUGACGCUCAUGUACGAAAGCGUGGGGAGCAAACAGGACUAGAUACCCUGGUAGUCCACGCCGUAAACGAUGUCUACUAGAAGCUCGGAACCUCGGUUCUGUUUUUCAAAGCUAACGCAUUAAGUAGACCGCCUGGGGAGUACGGCCGCAAGGUUAAAACUCAAAUGAAUUGACGGGGGCCCGCACAAGCGGUGGAGCAUGUGGUUUAAUUCGAUGCAACGCGAAGAACCUUACCUACACUUGACAUACAGAGAACUUACUAGAGAUAGUUUGGUGCCUUCGGGAACUCUGAUACAGGUGCUGCAUGGCUGUCGUCAGCUCGUGUUUGUGAGAUGUUUGGGUUAAGUCCCGCACCGAGCGCAACCCUAUCCCUAAUUUGCUAGCAGGUAUAGCUGAGAACUCUAAGAGACUCGCCGGGGAUAAACCGAAGAAAACGGGCCCACCCCCAGCCUCUUGGGCGCUCUAUAGUG
rnacentral:rRNA from 1 species